GGGCAAUCAAACAUAAAAUGGAACUCAGUUUCAGUAACUUGAUUUUUACAAAAUAUACAUAGUCUUUCUUCUACACUUUCGUUCGAGUAUCUACCAGUUUCCACUCUUAAUGGUAAAAUUUCACUUCUUAAUUGCGACCGAAGUGUGACCGCUCAAUUUUACUCAAGUUCAAAUUAACGUAAUUUUAAGUUUCAAAGACUGUUUUAAAGUUCCUAUGUGUUCGUAAUUUUGAAACGUUUUGGACGGAAUU
rnacentral:lncRNA from 1 species